GACGAACGCUGGCGGCGUGCUUAACACAUGCAAGUCGAGCGGUAAGGCCCUUCGGGGUACACGAGCGGCGAACGGGUGAGUAACACGUGGGUGACCUGCCCUUAGCUCUGGGAUAAGCCUGGGAAACUGGGUCUAAUACCGGAUAUGACCUCAUGACGCAUGUUGUGGGGUGGAAAGCCUUGUGCGGCUAGGGAUGGGCCCGCGGCCUAUCAGCUUGUUGGUGGGGUGAUGGCCACCAAGGCGACGACGGGUAGCCGGCCUGAGAGGGCGACCGGCCACACUGGGACUGAGACACGGCCCAGACUCCUACGGGAGGCAGCAGUGGGGAAUCUUGCGCAAUGGGCGAAAGCCUGACGCAGCGACGCCGCGUGAGGGAUGACGGCCU
rnacentral:rRNA from 1 species